rnacentral:rRNA from 1 species
UACGGGGGGGGCAAGCGUUGUUCGGAAUUACUGGGCGUAAAGGGCUCGUAGGUGGCCAACUAAGUCAGACGUGAAAUCCCUCAGCUUAACUGGGGAACUGCGUCUGAUACUGGAUGGCUUGAGUUUGGGAGAGGGAUGCAGAAUUCCAGGUGUAGCGGUGAAAUGCGUAGAUAUCUGGAGGAACACCGGUGGCGAAGGCGGCAUCCUGGACCA